UACGUAGGGUGCGAGCGUUGUCCGGAAUUAUUGGGCGUAAAGCGCGCGCAGGCGGUUCUUUAAGUCUGGUGUUUAAGUGCGGGGCUCAACCCCGUGACGCACUGGAAACUGGGGAACUUGAGUGCAGGAGAGGAAAGCGGAAUUCCACGUGUAGCGGUGACAUGCGUAGAGAUGUGGAGGAACACCAGUGGCGAAGGCGGCUUUCUGGACUGUAACUGACGCUGAGGCGCGAAAGCGUGGGGAGCAAACAGG
rnacentral:rRNA from 1 species